rnacentral:rRNA from 1 species
GAUGAACGCUGGCGGCGUGCCUAAUACAUGCAAGUCGAGCGAACAGAUGAGGAGCUUGCUCCUCUGACGUUAGCGGCGGACGGGUGAGUAACACGUGGAUAACCUACCUAUAAGACUGGGAUAACUGCGGGAAACCGGAGCUAAUACCGGAUAAUAUAUUGAACCGCAUGGUUCAAUAGUGAAAGACGGUUUUGCUGUCACUUAUAGAUGGAUCCGCGCCGCAUUAGCUAGUUGGUAAGGUAACGGCUUACCAAGGCGACGAUGCGUAGCCGACCUGAGAGGGUGAUCGGCCACACUGGAACUGAGACACGGUCCAGACUCCUACGGGAGGCAGCAGUAGGGAAUCUUCCGCAAUGGGCGAAAGCUUGACGGAGCAACGCCGCGUGAGUGAUGAAGGUCUUCGGAUCGUAAAACUCUGUUAUUAGGGAAGAACAAAUGUGUAAGUAACUAUGCACGUCUUGACGGUACCUAAUCAGAAAGCCACGGCUAACUACGUG